CAAUAUUUUCAAUCCCACAUACUCUUCUAGAAGCUUACUACACUGUAGUCCCCAUUAAGACCCCUGAGGUCAGGUCAUAAAAGGAUAUAUAGCUGGCUUCCUUUUGGCUCUCUCUCACUCUUUUACUUGCUCUCUUGGAAAGCUCACCUUUGGAACCUAGACGCCAUGUUGUGAGGAAGCUCAAACUAGCACACAUGGAGAAAAUCUCAUGCUACCAGCCUGCAGGCAGCAUCAGGUGGUCAGACAUGUGAGUAGGCAGACUUUCAAAUGAUUCCAGGCCCUAGAUUUCACAGAGCAGAAACAAGCCAUUGGUACUGUUCUGUGGUGUGCCAUGCCAAACCCCUAACCUACCGACUCCAUGAACAUGGAUUGUUUAUGCAACUAAGUUUUAGAGUUAUUUAUUGUGCAGAUAUAAUAACUAGAACAACUCUUCAAUUUCCAAGUUAUGUACUAUUGUCAUAUAUUUUAUCUGUAUUGUGUGUUUUAAUUCUGUUGUCAUGUACUUUAAUGUUCUUUAAUUCUAAGACUUUAUAUAGUCAGUGUUUGUGUUUAUACAUACACAUAUAUAUAAAACUUUCUUUGCUUUUCAUUAUUUUUUGUAUCUAAGACUUACUCCUAUGGGCUGAACGUUUAUGUCUUCCCAAAAUUUAUGUGUUGAAAUUCUGAUCUUCAAGGUGAUGUAAUUUGGAGAUGGGGCCUUUGAGGGGUGAUUAGGUCAUGGGGGCAGAGCCCUUAUAAAAGAGGCUGGAGAUCUCUCACCCCUACCAUAUUAGGACACAGCAAGAAGGUGCCAUCCUUGAGCCGGCAUGUGGACCCUCACGAGACACUGCAUGUACCAGUGCCUUAAUCUGGGACUUCCCAACCCCUAAAAAUAAAUUUUUGUCACCUAUAAGCCAGUUUAUCAUGUCUUGUUACUGUGGCCUGAAUGGACUAAAACACCAUCUGGGAUAAAUUUUUAUCUGAAAUACUUGCUUUAGAAUUUCAUUUUGUGAGAGUCUGCUGGUGGCAUACUUGCUCAUGAUUUGUUUUCUGAACAUAUCUGUAUUUUUUCCUCAUUCUGUAAAGAUAUUUUUGCUGAAUAUAGAUGCCUAAUUUGGCCUUUAUUAUCUUUCAGCACAUUGGCAUUGGAGAUAUUUUUUCAUUUUCUCAUGACUUCCUCUGUUGUUCUUGAGUCAGCUGUCAGCCUAACACUUACACCUUUAAAGAAAUUUAUUUUUUGGCCAGGAGCAGUGGCUCACGCCUGUAAUCCGAACACUUUGGGAGGCCAAGCUGGGUGGAUCACUUGAGGUCGGGAGUUCGUGACCAGCAUGACCAACUUGGAGAAACCCCAUCUCUACUAAAAAUACAAAAUUAGCUGGGCAUUUUGGCAGGCACCUGUAAUCCCAGCUACUCGGAAGGCUAAGGCAGGAGAAUCACUUGAACCCAGGAGGCAGAGGUUGCAGUGAGCCGAGAUCGCACCAUUGCACUCCAGCCUGGGCAACAAGAGCGAAACUCUGUCUCAAAAAAAAAAAAAUCUCUUUUUUUAUCUGCUUUGGUUUUAUGCAAUUAAUAUGUUUCUGAGUAUGGAUUUAUUUUUACUAAUCCUGCUUAAGAUUUGUUGAGAUCUUUAAAUCUGGAUUUGUGUCUUUGAUUACUAGUUCUGGAGAAGUUCUCAAAUACUACUUCACAUAUAACCUCUUCCUCAUUAUCUUUUCUUCUAUGGAGAUUCUCAUUAAACGUGAUAGACCUUCAGUGUUCUGUCUUCAGUUUUUAACACCCUCUCUUCUAUAUUUUUCAAUUGUUCUUUCUUGUCAUGCUUUAUUCUGUAUAAUUUAUUUUAACCCAUAUUCCAGUUUACUUACCUCUUCAUGUGUUUCUUGUCUACUUACAGCCAUCUAUUUUGUUGUGGUGGUGGUGGUGGUGGUGGUUUUAUUUUUCAGUCCUAAAAGUUCUGUUUGGUUCUCUUUUUUAAACCUGCUAGAUCACUUUUAUAGUUGUUUAUUCCCUACAGAUAUUUUCUAAUAUGUCUGUUCUUGAAACUAUGAGGGCUGUUUUACGAUCUUUGCUGCUUUCAGUUUCUGAAAUGUCUGUGGCCCUGUUUCUGUUGUUUCUUCCAGCUAAAUGUAUUGUCGGUCUCCUGUGAGACUCUCCACAUUGGCAAGGCCCUGGGCUUUGAUUUCUGUUUCUCUUGUCGGUUACUUUUCCAUUUAUUGCAUUCAACUACAAUGUGUCACCGACUUUAGGAAUCUACUUUUUAAAAGUUUUUUAUAUUAAGCACUCUAAUUUCUUAUAGAAUGCAAGAAUUCACUCAACACUUUGAAAUGAUAAGAAAUUAGAGCUCUUUAGUCUCAUCUACCUAUAUUUUGACCAACUCAAUUGUAAAACCCUUGAGAAUAAUACAUAUGUGCUGCUUUUAUAAUUUUUACAUUAACAGUGAUUUAUAUAAAUACUCAAUACAUUUCAAUAAAUACUUAACAUU
rnacentral:lncRNA from 1 species